rnacentral:ribozyme from 1 species
GGUGCAAUUUCAAGACCAUAGCAGAAACGCUCAUGGUGCAACCUGUCAGAUUCCAGUGAAUCUAUGAAUUCUGCU